AGGCCCACAAAUCUCCCCAAACUCUCUAUAAACAAAGCGGGAGGCAGAGCGCAGAGGAUAAUAGUUCACUGCAGACGUGUCUCGCAGUCUGUCCAUGAUGCACGCGGGGAGAGGAGUGGUGGAAGAAGUCAACAAGUUUCUUCUCAGUGCUUGAGUCAUCUUGGGAGCUUGGUCCUGAGUUACACCGUGGAAAUGGCCUGACCUGGAGACAGGACUGUCUUGGUACUGGUGAAUGAUGGAACCACCAGCUAAAAGCAAGGCUUGCACAUGCUGGAGGAGAGAGCACCUGAGACUCCAUGGGAGGUCUUGCAAGGCCACAAGUUCCCUCUUGCCAAUGGCACAACUGUGGUGGUGUGAAGAGCAAUAUCAAGACACCUAGCUGUGGAGCAGGGUGGCAAGAACAGUCAUGAGAAGGAGAGGACUUGAUUCCAGCCUGCCUGCUCAUUGGCUCGUUAGCUAACUCAGCUGGAGGUAGAAGAGAGGGCGGGUCCAGCCAACAGCUGGAAAAGGAUUGGGCCUCAACUAGAGCAUGGUUCUGACAAACCUUAUGACCUCCUAGCAUUAAGGAUGGAAAUGCAGAUUUACUGCAAUGUGCUGGUGCAGCUCCUCAGGUGAUGCUUGUGGGGAAUAAAAUGCUCAAAUGUCAGCUUCUGAAUGGACUAUCAGAGACCAAGGUAUAACCUCAGCUGCAGAUUAGAGAAGUGUUUUGUUUGUGAUUCCUAGAUGCUCUACACUUGAUGCAUUGUCUUCCUACAGACGCAGGGCAAACACUGCUCCUCCCUUCUGGCCUGGGUUGCAAUGAUGGAUUAAGUAGGUCUCCAAGCAUUUUAAAAGGAAGCUAACACCGCAGAUUGGAAAACUUCACAUCUUGAGGCUUCAGAGACUAGUUCAAAGUCAGCCAGAGGAGCCAAGGCCACCACCUCACCAUUAAAUGUCGAGUUGAAUGGAAACACAAUACAUCACCUUCCUCGUGGGCUGCCAUUCAGCCAAGAGUAACAGAGAUUAGCCUUCAAUCACACAGGGGCUGGAGCUGAAGGAAACCUUCCCGAGGACAUGCUGGAGAAACAUUUUCAUUAGCGGAGGAGAACUUGACAAAGAUGAAGUGCCCCUUCACCUCAGCUGCUGGACCUCUCCCCUGCCUGGCGUUAACAGGAUAGGGAAAUGCUAACCGAGGAGCUGGUGCCAGCUGUGAGACUUUAAGUGUUGUCUGCAUCCAGAUGUGAGAAACAGCUGUGACAUGGUGAAGCAGCGCUUUUAUAGCCUGGUGGGGGUGGCUUUGGUUUUUCCCUGCCUAUUGCCAAGCGCUCACUGCUGCAAGCAAACUGGCUGUCAGUUGAAUGGAGGAAAUGGGUGCUAGGUUGCAAGCCUGUGUAUGUGCUGGAUUGCAGGUAUGUACCUGAAUGGGCACCGUAGCAUGGGCCAGGCAAGAUGUCCUUGGGUGAUAAGGUCCAAGGGUCCAGAGCGAUCAUGAGCUCUGCCUCCCACAACACCUUUUGCAAAUGUAACAGGACUGCCUUUUGGGUAGCAGAGGCU